rnacentral:rRNA from 1 species
AUUGAACGCUGGCGGCAGGCCUAACACAUGCAAGUCGAGCGAGCGGCGGACGGGUGAGUAAUGUCUGGGAAACUGCCUGAUGGAGGGGGAUAACUACUGGAAACGGGAGCUAAUACCGCAUACCAUCAGAUGUGCCCAGAUGGGAUUAGCUAGUAGGUGGGGUAACGGCUCACCUAGGCGACGAUCCCUAGCUGGUCUGAGAGGAUGACCAGCCACCCGGGAACGUGGCCACGGUCCAGACUCUUACGGUAGGCCGCAGUGGGGAAUAUUGCACAAGGGGCUCAAGCCUGGUGCACCCAUGCCGCGUGUGUGAAGAAGGCCUUCGGGUUGUAAAGCACUUUCAGCGGGGGGGCGUUACCCGCAGAAGAAGCACCGGCUAACUCCGUGCCAGCAGCCGCGGUAAUAC